rnacentral:rRNA from 1 species
UACGUAGGGUGCAAGCGUUAAUCGGAAUUACUGGGCGUAAAGCGUGCGCAGGCGGCUUUGCAAGACAGAUGUGAAAUCCCCGGGCUUAACCUGGGAACUGCAUUUGUGACUGCAUGGCUAGAGUGCGGCAGAGGGGGAUGGAAUUCCGGCGUGUAGCAGUGAAAUGCGUAGAUAUCGGGAGGAACACCAGUGGCGAAGGCGGCUUUCUGGCC